rnacentral:rRNA from 1 species
UACGGGGGGGGCAAGCGUUGUUCGGAAUUACUGGGCGUAAAGGGCUCGUAGGCGGCCAACUAAGUCAGACGUGAAAUCCCUCGGCUUAACCGGGGAACUGCGUCUGAUACUGGAUGGCUUGAGAUUGGGAGAGGGAUGCGGAAUUCCAGGUGUAGCGGUGAAAUGCGUAGAUAUCUGGAGGAACACCGGUGGCGAAGGCGGCAUCCUGGACCAACACUGACGCUGAGGGAGCGAAAGCCAGGGGAGCAAACGGG